UUCAGUGAAAUGACUCCUAGUCGAGUUAAUGGUAAGGGUGGGGCUUAAUUUUGAUCUUUGAGGAUCUAUGUGAAAAGAGGAAAAGAAGGGGCGUGUAGCUUCCAAGAAGCAAAGGAACCAAAAUGAGCUCAACUCAGCUCCAUCAAUCAGCUUCCCAACUCAGACCCUGGAUGCAUCAGACAUUCCAAUAUCAGCCAAGCCCAGGUGACAGGUGACAAAACUGGAGAGGAUCUGGAAAAACCAAUAUCAAUGUUAUUGGGAUCACAGCAACCAAUGUAAGCAAACAGGCUUUACAAGUUUGGGGGUCCUGGGGCUCCUGGUGCCCUCUGUAUUCCAGAGACAUCAUAC